GCCCCGGCGACGGAACCGGCAGACGUGUCCGCCUCAGAAGCGGAAUCCUGGGAGUUCGACUCUCCCCUGGGGCACCA
rnacentral:tRNA from 1 species